GUGGCAGUAGUUCAGUGGUAGAGCUCCCGCUCCGUUAGCGGGGAUACCUGGGUUCGAUUCCCGGCUACUUUC
rnacentral:tRNA from 1 species